AACGAACGCUGGCGGCAGGCUUAACACAUGCAAGUCGAACGGGUGUAGCAAUACAUCAGUGGCAGACGGGUGAGUAACACGUGGGAACCUUCCUAGGGGUACGGAACAACUCAGGGAAACUUGAGCUAAUACCGUAUACGUCCGUGAGGAGAAAGAUUUAUCGCCCUUAGACGGGCCCGCGUCGGAUUAGCUAGUUGGUGGGGUAACGGCCUACCAAGGCGACGAUCCGUAGCUGAUCUUAGAGGAUGAUCAGCCACACUGGGACUGAGACACGGCCCAGACUCCUACGGGAGGCAGCAGUGGGGAAUCUUGGACAAUGGGCGCAAGCCUGAUCCAGCCAUGCCGCGUGAGUGAAGAAGGUCUUCGGAUUGUAAAGCUCUUUUGCCAGGGACGAUAAUGACGGUACCUGGAGAAUAAGCCCCGGCAAACUUCGUGCCAGCAGCCGCAGUAAUAC
rnacentral:rRNA from 1 species